rnacentral:rRNA from 1 species
UUGUAAACUUCUUUUAUAAAGGAAUAAAGUCGGGUAUGGAUACCCGUUUGCAUGUACUUUAUGAAUAAGGAUCGGCUAACUCCGUGCCAGCAGCCGCGGUAAUACGGAGGAUCCGAGCGUUAUCCGGAUUUAUUGGGUUUAAAGGGAGCGUAGAUGGAUGUUUAAGUCAGUUGUGAAAGUUUGCGGCUCAACCGUAAAAUUGCAGUUGAUACUGGAUAUCUUGAGUGCAGUUGAGGCAGGCGGAAUUCGUGGUGUAGCGGUGAAAUGCUUAGAUAUCACGAAGAACUCCGAUUGCGAAGGCAGCCUGCUAAGCUGCAACUGACAUUGAGGCUCGAAAGUGUGGGUAUCAAACAGGAUUAGAUACCCUGGUAGUCCACACGGUAAACGAUGAAUACUCGCUGUUUGCGAUAUACAGCAAGCGGCCAAGCGAAAGCGUUAAGUAUUCCACCUGGGGAGUACGCCGGCAACGGUGAAACUCAAAGGAAUUGACGGGGGCCCGCACAAGCGGAGGAACAUGUGGUUUAAUUCGAUGAUACGCGAGGAACCUUACCCGGGCUUAAAUUGCAGAUGAAUUACGGUGAAAGCCGUAAGCCGCAAGGCAUCUGUGAAGGUGCUGCAUGGUUGUCGUCAGCUCGUGCCGUGAGGUGUCGGCUUAAGUGCCAUAACGAGCGCAACCCUUGUUGUCAGUUACUAACAGGUUCCGCUGAGGACUCUGACAAGACUGCCAUCGUAAGAUGUGAGGAAGGUGGA